rnacentral:rRNA from 1 species
AACCGGUCAAGAUUCCGGUUCCACCCACGACCGUUUGAGCGAUGGGGGGACGCGGGGGGCUAGGUCCCGGGGUGGUGACACCCUCCAAACUGGUAGGCCGUGCUGGGAGGCAAAUCCCCUGGCACAAAGGCUGAGAGGUGAUGGGCAGGUGCGUGUGCAAGCACAAGCCGCAGGGAUUGAGGCCGUACCGCCGAGAAAAGCCUCUAGUGAGGGCGUGGGUGCCCGUACCGCAAACCGACACAGGUGGGCUGGUCGAGUAGACCAAGGUGGACGAGAGAACCUCUGUCAAGGAACUCGGCAAAUUGGCCCCGUAACUUCGGGAGAAGGGGCGCCCCGUGUAGCGUGAAGGACCGCGCGUCCGGAGCGUGAGGGGGCCGCAGUGACCAGGCCCAGGCGUCUGUUUACCAAAAACACCGGUCCCUGCCAACGCGGAGAGCGUGGACGUAUAGGGGCUGAGACCUGCCCAGUGCCGGAAGGUUAAAGGGAGUGGUGCAAGCUAAGAACUGAAGCCCCGGUAAACGGCGGCCGUAACUAUAACGGUCCUAAGGUAGCGAAAUUCCUUGUCGGGUAAGUUCCGACCCGCACGAAAGGUAGAACGAUCUGGGCGCUGUCUCGACAGGGGACUCGGCGAAAUUGGAGUAACGGUGAAGAUACCGUUGACCCGUGGCAGGACAAAAAGACCCCGUGGAGCUUUACUCCAACUUGUCGUUGGGCGCGGGCGCGGCUUGUGUAGGAUAGGUGGGAGCCGGAGAAGCUGGGACGCUAGUCCUGGUGGAGGCGACGGUGAAAUACCACCCUGGCGGCGCUUGUGUUCUCACGCGGCGUGUGAUCCACGUCGCGGACCGCGGCUGGUGGGGAGUUUGACUGGGGCGGUCGCCUCCUAAAGAGUAACGGAGGCGCCCAAAGGUUCCCUCAGGCCGGAUGGCAAUCGGCCGGAGCGCGCAAGGGCAGCAAGGGAGCUUGACUGCGAGGCGGACAUGCCGAGCAGGGACGAAAGUCGGGCCUAGUGAUCCCACGGUGCCGAGUGGAAGGGCCGUGGCUUAACGGAUAAAAGCUACCCCGGGGAUAACAGGCUGAUCCUGCCCAAGAGUCCACAUCGACGGCAGGGUUUGGCACCUCGAUGUCGGCUCGUCGCAUCCUGGGGCCGGAGAAGGUCCCAAGGGUUGGGCUGUUCGCCCAUGAAAGCGGUACGCGAGCUGGGUUCAGAACGCCGUGAGACAGUUCGGUCUCUAUCCGCCACGGGCGCAGGGAGUGUGCGGGGGGCUGACCCUAGUACGAGAGGACCGGGUUGGACGCACCGCUGGUGAGCCAGUUGUCGGCAACGGCAUCGCUGGGUAGCUACGUGCGGACGGGUGAACCGCUGAAAGCAUCUAAGCGGGAACCCCUCCUCAAGAUGGCACUCCCCACUGAGAGAUCAGGUAAGGCCCCCGGCAGAUGACCGGGUUGAUAGGCGGCAGGUGGACAGCGGGUAACCGACUGGAGCUGAGCCGUCCUAAUGGCCGAGGCCGG